UACCAGCUCUCCGAGUUGUAUGGAUACUUAUUGGGCCUGAAGCAUCCGUAGCCGGCUGAACAAGUCCCCUGUUAAAUCCAGCGACUAAUCGUUGGCCUGCGUUUUGAUACUGCUCGGCUAGGGGGCGGGAGAGGCCGCCGGUAUUCUUGGUGUAGGGGUGAAAUCCUAUAAUCCCAGCGAGGACCACCAGAGUCGAAGGCUGUCGGCUAGAACGCGCCCGACGGUGAGGGAUGAAAGCUGGGGGAGCGAACCGGAUUAAAUACCCGGGUAGUCCCAGCUGUAAACGAUGCAUGCUACGUGUUAGGGCGGUUACGUGCCGCUCUAGUGCCGCAGGGAAGCUGUUAAGCCUGCCGCCUGGGGAGUACGGCCGCAAGGCUGAAACUUAAAGGAAUUGGCGGGGGACCACCACAAGGGGUGAAGCUUGCGGUUUAAUUUGAGUCAACGCCGGAAAUCUCACCGGGGCCGACAGCAGCAUGAAAGCCAGAUUAAAGGUCUUUCCAGACGAGUUGAGAGGAGGUGCAUGGCCGUCGUCAGUUCGUGCCGUGAGGUGUCCUGUUAAGUCAGGCAACGAUCGCGACCCGCAUCCCUCGUUGCCACCAGCCAUGAGCUGGGCUCUCUGGGGAGACCCCCGCCGAUAAGGCGGAGGAAGGAGCGGGCCACGGCAGGUCAGUAUGCUCCUCGAAUCUACCGCGGUGCCACCACGUCGAUGCUGACAAUGCGUAGGCUAACAAGUGGUGUCUCCGACCCUCAGAAAUGGGGGAGAGAAAUCAGCUAAAACGCUUCCCGUAGUUGGGAUCGAGGGUUGAAACCCACCCUCGUGAACAUGGAAUCCUUAGUAAUCGCGCUUCACCAGCGCGCGGUGAAUACGUCCCUGCUCCU
rnacentral:rRNA from 1 species